rnacentral:rRNA from 1 species
UACGUAGGUGGCAAGCGUUGUUCGGAAUUACUGGGCGUAAAGGGCUCGUAGGCGGCCAACUAAGUCCGACGUGAAAUCCCCAGGCUUAACCUGGGAACUGCGUCGGAUACUGGAUGGCUUGAAUCCGGGAGAGGGAUGCAGAAUUCCAGGUGUAGCGGUGAAAUGCGUAGAUAUCUGGAGGAAUACCGGUGGCGAAGGCGGCAUCCUGGACCGGCAUUGACGCUGAUGAGCGAAAGCUAGGGGAGCAAACGGG